AUAAAGCAUAUAUUAACAUAUUCUCUACAUUAUAAAAGUAUUUUGUCAGAACUAAAUGAUUAUUAUACAGUAUUAAUUUAAAAAUAAAAGCACAGUGGGGUGGCGGCACAGUGGAGUCGUGGCAUAGUUGGGUCUAGUAUAGAUGAUAUCUGACAGUGAUUAAAAUCACUAUCAUAAAAAACGCUUCGAUGCAAAUUUGUAGAUAGUGUUUAAUUAAAAAAAAAAAUUUGUUAAAAUAGCAUAUUUUUGAAUAUGGUAGCCAUUUGCGCAUAGAAGAUAGGUCGUCGGGACAAAUUUUUUUUUUCAUUUUAUAGUACAUAAAAUAAGCUUUAAUUUGAUAUAUGUUUAAAGGACGCAGUAUUUCCGAAACAUUUUCAAAAGUUAAGUUGAAAAAGUUCUAUUUUUUAUACAAUGUUUCAUGUUUUGAACGACUCCUAUAUAAGGGAAAAUUGUCCAAUUUUAAUAAAAAAAAGUAUGUCAAAUGAAAGAUGUACUUAUAAUGUAUUUAGAAAAAAAAAAUUUGUGCUGAUAUAUACAUUUUUCAAAAAGUUAUAGCAUUUUUAAGUUGAAAAUUUAAAAUCGAAAAUCGAAAAUUUUAACACAAAAAUAGUGUUUUUUUAACUACGGCAGCCGUUUAAAUGUAGAAAAAAAAGUGUCGGGACAAAUUUUUUUUUUUCAUUUUAUAGUACAUAAAAUAAGCUUUAAUUUGAUAUAUGUUUAAAGGACGCAGUAUUUCCGGAACAUUUUCAAAAGUUCAGUUGAAAAAAAUUUAUGUUUUUUACAAUAUUUUAAGUUUUGAACGCCCCCUAUAUAAGGAGAAAUUGUCCAAUUUUAAUAAAAAGACGCAGUAUUUCCGGAACAUUUUCAAAAAUUAAGUUGAAAAAGUUAGUUUUUGUAAAAAAGUUGCUAUUUUAAAUCCCCCCCAAUGAGCAGGUUAAGUGUUAGAUUUUCAAAAAAAUGAUAUCAAAUGAAAGAUAAAUAUCUAAGGUUUUAGUAUAAAAAAAAAUUAUGUUGAUUUGUUGAUUUUUGAAAAAGUUAUGGAAGUUUUAAGAAAAAAAAGUGAAAAAAAUGACAAAAUUUACCGAUUUUUAAAUUUGUAAUUUUUUUGGAGAUUUCCCCCAUUUGCGGGGAACAAGGGAAAAUAUUUCAAUUUUUAAGAGUAAUGUCUUCAACUAGAUACGAUUUGUGAUCUUUUGACGUAUUUUUGAAAGAAAUCGGUCCAGUGAGAGCUGAGAAAAAGUGGCAACAGACAAAAAAAAAAAAAAAAAAAACAA